UACGUAGGGUCCGAGCGUUGUCCGGAAUUAUUGGGCGUAAAGGGCUCGUAGGUGGUUUGUCGCGUUGUUCGUGAAAACUCACAGCUUAACUGUGGGCGUGCGGGCGAUACGGGCAGACUGGAGUACUGCAGGGGAGACUGGAAUUCCUGGUGUAGCGGUGGAAUGCGCAGAUAUCAGGAGGAACACCGGUGGCGAAGGCGGGUCUCUGGGCAGUAACUGACGCUGAGGAGCGAAAGCGUGGGGAGCGAACAGG
rnacentral:rRNA from 1 species